AAAGUCGUAACAAGGUUUCCGUAGGUGAACCUGCGGAAGGAUCAUUAGUAAUGUUGUGGGGGGGCUGCUGCCAGUGUCGCAAGACUUGGCGGUUGGCUCUCUUGUUGAUCUGUGAACUGGGUUUUGGUUGUGCGGCCUGCCUCCUUUCGGGGGGGCGGGUCGUGCGCGCCGAGCCUGAUUGUUUUCUGCUUUUAUUUUUUACUAUUUUCUUAGUUGAAAAACUAGAAAUCCAAGACAACUUUCAGCAAUGGAUCUCUUGGCUCUU
rnacentral:misc_RNA from 1 species